CUUUCUUCUGAUUUGGGGCAGAAAGCAAUGUUAAAAUAUCGGCGGUCUCACAUGGUAGCCUGGGAAAGGGCAUUUCCCUGGUUGUCUUUGCGUGAACCUGACCCAGGCUUUAAUAUCGUAAGAAUGGCAGGUGUGUUUCAUUCUCGCUGUUGUUUCAUUGUACUAGGGAGCUGUUUAUAGGACUAAAAUAAUGUUUUUUACUGUGCAUUUCUCAAACAGAAACCGUCUCGCAGCGAGAAGGCAACGAGUCGCGUGUGCUCCCCAACGGGUGGGUAUGAGAUUAUGGUGGCGCACGCUCCCUGCGAGCGAGGGGAGCGUUCAUCCAGACGUCUCCAGCUCGCCCGCAUGCACACGUGGCUCUGCUGGCCCCGCAAGCUGCAUACCGCCACCGUCCCUCCUCCGAAAGGACUGAACCCAGAGCCGCCUGUUGUUUAGCAACACAGAAACGUGACCUUAAUUGACUCCGCUCUCGGGUGCACUGCAUAAAUCACUUCUGGCGCGGCCAGGAAUUUCGGGACGGGCACCCCCAGCUCCGGGAGGCCGAGGGAGGAGCGCCCCGGCCCGCUCCUGGGUCCAGCCAGGAGCGCUUUCCCGCAGCCUCAAAUUUCUGCCUCGCCUCUGCCCUAGAGGCACCACAGCCGACGCCAGGCGGACUGGGCUCUCCGGGCCCUGCUCCCUCCCGACGGGCACGCUCCUCUCCCUGCGGCGCAAGGGUCCCCAUUCCCACGGGGAAGCAGGCGAAACCGUUUCCCUCUGCUCUUCGACGCCCGCGUGCAGCCGGGGCCUCCCACUUGUGUUUACAGUCCAGCUGGGCUGAUAAGACUCUCUACCCGCCGUCCCUGGGAUGCACUGGGUUAAAGUUUAUUGCAAGAUAAAUUAAACGUGAUGAAAAUGUAACAAAUCCUCCUGUGAAUGUCUGACACGCACUUAGCCGGACAACUUAUUUGUAUGAUACCAGGGGGCUGAUACAUUAAAAGAUAUAAUUUGUGGUCUCCCGAGGAGAGGUUAAGGGCCGGGAGCACGGCUCCCUUUGAGCCGCCUCCGUCUCUCCGCGUCGCCGGCCCCGGCCUUAAUCAAGUUAUCAUAUCAACCCGUGUCUCGCGGGCCCCCGCCCGCCUGCAAGGAGGCCACAUUUGCAGACAAAUUUCUAGCAGCGGGAAGUUGGCGCUCUCCUGCGUGGCGGGAUAAAGAGUACCCGCCGCCUCUGCGCGCCGCGCCGCGGGCGCACGCUGGGAGAGCAGUUCAAGGCAGCACCAUGCUGGCUCUGGAGCUGGUCGUUUAGGGCAGUGUGGGAAUAGGCCAGGGAGGCUCUUUGAGCAGGAGGGCUAUUCUUCUCCCCGAGAUAAUGCACGGCGUGCAGCAGCAAAAGCAACACAAUGAGGCCAUCUGUGAAUAGGCUGGAACAGUUACCU
rnacentral:lncRNA from 1 species